UUCAAAGGCAGGCAAAGGCCAGGAAACCGUAUCUAUGUAUCCUCAAGAUCCGAACUCAUCAGUGGAAAAUUAUAACCCUCGGUUAUAUACGGAAAGGCAAAGCUGUUUCUGCUCAAAUUACUGUCAUGGUGAAAACUGGUGUCAGAGGAGGAUGCUCAUUUCUUCUCCUGGUACCUGAAGACAAGAACAACAAUAACUGUCAGUGAAACAAAAAUCAAACUCUACAUCAGCAGUCUAGGAGCUAAAGCUCCCAUCCAUCACAAAAUUAUUUAUUCACAAUGAGAAGUAGUCAUCUGAAGAAGAACUACUUGAAUAAGAAAAAGAGGCAGAAGGUGUCUCACCAGCUUACCUUCAUGUUUAUGCAAGGCAUCAGAGUAGUGCAAAUCAGCAUGGAAAACAUCAGAAGAUCAGAGGAGCUCUCUUCUGGUGUACAGUCCUCAAAGACAGAUGGUGAGAAGAGCUUUCUCUUUCACCAGUUUGCAGAACACCACAGCCUUCUCCAAAUGUAAAUCUUUGUCUCUUCAUUGUCUUCACGGAAUACAAACUGGUUACUUUGGAUAACGUCUGGGUCUCAGGAGCUAUUUCAGAUGUGCUCAUUUCUUUGACUGCAGCACUGAUUUGCUGGGAUUUUACACUCCCAGAACUCUCCUUCUCUCAGGUGACUAUCUUUACUGUCUCAGUGCUGAAUUCCCUCUUAUGCAAUCUCCAAAUGAAGGCAAAGAUAUGACAUUCUCCAUCAGAUUUUCAGAUAUUACUAAAAUUCUUCCUCCCGUUUCUCCAGUUCGUUCUAUCAGUUGCUCACUAUUCCCCAGUUCGUUUCUAGCUUGUUGGGUUUUUUUUGCUUUGUUUUGUUUUCACUGUCUGAGGUGCAAUCGCUAUAAAUCAUCAGCCAUUACCUUGUCAAUGCAAUAUUUUAAGACCAGCUCAUACACAUGAGCCAUAAGCAGGAUCCUUACAAUAGCACCUAAGAUAAAUGCUGACUUUUAACUUCAUGAGCACGAGAAACAAGUGAGAGCACUUAUUAUACAGUUACUGAAUCCUGGCUAGAGGAAGCCAGGAGACAAAGAAAAGUUCACCAUUUCUUCACGUGGUCUGAAUAUGGCUCUGGGCAUCUUCACCCCCAUAAACCAACACUGAGGAUGAAGGUGUAAGUCUCAGACUAGCCAAAUGUUAUUGGAGUGCUCUACUGCAUAAGGGACAGAUACUUCACUGCUUUGGUUAAUUCACAGCAUUAAGCAGAUUAUGUCCUACUGCUACUAUACACCUUUCACAAUCAUAGCAAGUUAAUUAUCUUCUGGAUGAGCAAAUUCAUGCCAGAAUAGCCUAGACUUCUUCAUAAGUAAGCAACGGCUUUCAUACAGUACCUGCCUUUUUACAGCAAGCAAUAUAGCCUGCUGUCAAAUCAGGCCCCAUGAACCACUUGGCGGGGCUGUCUGAGGCCACAAAAAGCAUCCUGCUGUUCUCAUCCCUGAGGACUUUUUGCCCCACUUCUGUCACAUAGACACCUUCCUGGCAUAUUUUGAAGGAAAAUAUGUUUCUGACCCAAAGCUACACGCACUUUCAGUGUUCAUUCCAAAUCACAAGGAAUCACACUGCUGGAACCAGAGACUUCCCACUGAUAGCGAGUAUUCAGGACAGAAGCUAAAAUCUCACAGAAAUCCUUUUGUAUAUUAACUGGUCUCCAAAGCACCUAAUCUUGAGAUAUCAGUCAGCAAAAGUCAAUUGAGAUGCUGUUGACAGGUCAUCCCACAGUCCUGUUCACUGUGCCAGCUUGUGUCAUGCUGGAAAGAUUUCAGUUCUUAUGAAUUCCUUGUCAACAUGAGCAAAGUUCUUAUUAGGCCAGUGAAGCAUGCAUUCCCUAAUGCGUGUACCAUGAUGCACUGUGUGUUGAAAAAGGGCAAAGGUAGCUUAAGACAGAGGAGGAAGUAAAGGGGGGGUGACCAACACUCACCUAGUGAUCUUAAAGCCCCUGUAGUUCUACAGUGGUUCACUACAGCUCUCACUUCUCAAAAUGGUGAAGCUUUCAGAUGCUCAACACCAAGCAAAUCUUGGCAACUCAACCCUGUCCACUCAGAUUCUCUCCUGAACAUCUAACUCCAGCACUAUUCUGCCUCCCCUCAGCAAAACACACUGGUUCCUGAUGCUGAGCAGCUUCACAUCAGUGCUGUGCUUCACCCCACAGCUGAUCAUAUUUAAGCAGAGGUGGAACGUAGCAUUCAGCACUUAGUCUGUGAAUUGGUCAGACCCUUCAGGAUGAAGAAUACCACAUAUUUUACCCACACGCAUUUCACACAAGCCAACCACCUAAUUCUUUUUCUCUAGUUUUCAAUUUCUGCAAGACACUGUUAUUUUAUGGAGAGCUGAAAAAUACCCAUAAGUAAGUCAGAGGUACAAUCUUUUUUUUCAUCCUUCCUGCUGCAGAAAAUUCUUCAUCACCUCCCUGUAAACACUAUUUCUGUUUUACUCUGCUGUGCCGCUUGGGGAAACACACUGCUGGGCGCAGGAUCUUCCUGGUAUCUAUUUUACGCCUCCGGGAGUUUUCCAGCAGCCAGCAAUAAUAUAAAAGAUCACCACGGACUGUGAUGUGACCAAUUACAGCAGACAGCAGUUAUUUAUAGAAAAGUCAGCAGCAGUGAAGCUUUAACACCAGCCGGUGCACCCCUCUGCUUCCCAUCACCUAGUGUGUUUGCUAGCAUCCUGCAACAUCCUGAAUAGCAAGGAUUUUUAAAGCAAUUACCUUGCUACCUCACAAAACUGUGUAGACGCAUGGCAUAUGCCCACAGGACAACGAAGGCAUAUCACUCUACACGCAUGUGAUCCUUGAGAUGCCACUACGUAUUUAAUUUUCAUAAAUUGUUGACCCCAGAUGUCACUUUCAUUCCCAAAUCCUUGUCCGCCUACUCAGCAGCAUAGCACGUUAAGGCUCAGCACAGUCAGUGUGCAUAAGACUCUGUAACACACACUAUCCUGAUUUCUAGCUGUUUGGAAACUGUCUCUUAUUCCCUCCACACCCUGCUAUAAGGUCUGUCCAAAUACUAAAGUACAAAGGAGGACAUGCUAGCUAGGUUUCUUUCUGAAUUUCCCUUAUCAUGAUCUAAACCAAAGUAGCUGAUACAGCUUUCAUUCUGUUGAUGCAAUCAGAGAUGGAAAAAUCACCAAAAAAGCUAGAAAAAUCACAGCAACCAAGAGGGAGAUGCUACUUACUGGGGACAUACCCUGCCUCAACAAAUCCCUGCUAUAAGACAGACAGUGGUGAUGGUCCCUAACAUAUAAAUGCCUGUUUUCUGAGCUGACGCAGGAUAAGGGAAGUUUGGGUGCUCAAGUACCUGACAUGAGUAACCUUAGAAAUAUGGAUUCAAGAUGUAAUUUUUAAUUAUUUUUCUUCGUGAAUUUUUCAUAUGCUCUAAGUGCAAAACUGCUCAUGGAAACUGAGGGAAAAAGUUUAUGGCCUCUUCCUAAGGUGAGCAUUUUACAGCUGAGCACAAUGCAGAAUGAAAUGCAAUACUGCCAUCUACUGCCUGGGCUCAAUAACAUCUCCUCUCCAUCUGUCACAUUCAGCUGAAGAUGAGAUCACUGUUUCAGGACAGGGAAUCUUCUAAUCAUAACAAAAAUGUGAUCUUGACUGAUCCAAAGGUCACAUUACAUUAAUACAGUCUUCACAGCUUUUUUUUAAUAAUAUAAUUAACAAUUUCUGCCAUACCAUUAAGAGAAUUAGAGACCAAAAAGCUCAAGGGGUAUUGACCUAUUCAGUUUCAGUUUUUAAAAUAACCUCAAAGCAACACAGACUUUUUUUUCCACUACUACCACCACCUUUAAACUCCCAGAUACAUAAUUCUUAGAUGUGCUUUCUAUUUGUGUUCAUGGAUAUCAUACUUUUAGCAAAGACCUGUAUCAGCCAGUAGAGCGGAUCUCCAAUCUGGUUAGCAGCUUUUAUCUUGUGAACCAGUAGGUCAGGUUAGAACACCUUAUGCUACACUAAGAAGAAAAACACCACUAAUUAGCAAUCUUGAUACCACAGUUUGAUGCAGAAAGAGACUUACUUCUACAAUGAUGCUACAGUUCACUACCAACACAUUCUCCAAGUCAACAUUCUCAUUCUCUUAACCUAUCAUCUCCCUAAAGUGCAUCUGUGCCUCUGCAAACGAUUUGGAAAGCUUUAAGUGAAUUAAAUAAAGCCUUCAGUAUAUCCUGGAUGAUUUUUGCUCACAGUAAGCUUGCUCUUCAGCACCCAAAGUCACACAUUCAAAUGGUAUUCCUCAACAAGUGGUACUGUUAGUUGGUUACUAAGUUUUAGUGUGAGCAUCCUUGGGUUCAAACUGCUCCUUAGCAGCAGUGCCAUGCAGGAUGAUGGCUCCCAUGAAUAAUCCACCACCAGAACACAGUGAGGUUCAAACUAUUCAGAGGCUGUGGCUAGAAAGCUAGGUCUGAGGCACACUGAUAUGACUAUACAAGGAAAGUCAGCAUCAGAAAGCAGCAACACAAAGCCUCACCCUCCAUGAGUUCCUUGAAGACUUCAGCCAGAAUGGCAUUAUACCAUGUGUCUUUAUAUCAGCUGAAAUCUGUUCUGAGUUCAGUUAUUAUUUUUUUCUUCUAAUCCACUAUACACCAAAAUUUACAGUCCAUAUCUAUUUUUAAAGAAAGAGAAUCCUGGGUAAGUUGUUUUGAGUCAAUUGCAGUUUCUGGCAGGGUUUUGUGAUGGAAAAUAGACUCGUCUGAAGCUCCACAUUACUCCUGGGCAGGAUACAAAAGGAGAAGGGCAGAACUGCGCAUGUGCGUGAAAAAUUGCAGAUGAAACCAGGGGACCAUGUAAAAUCUAUAACAACAAUAAAGAACACAGCUCAGCUCAUGUCAUCACCAUAUGAGCUUAUUGUCCUGGGCAAGGGUUCAACAAUGGAUUUGGCAAAGAUGAUUCUUUCUGAUCAGCAUUACAUCAAUCCACAGCUACAAAUAUACCAAAUAAUCUAGCAUCAAAGCUGUCAGGGUUGUAUUACCCUGCACUUCUGGGUUCUGAGCAGCAGAAUACUGCCUGCCUCCUGGAUUUUUAACAACAGUGGCUUUUUCACUUGGCUAAGACAGGCAAGAAUGUUUGUCCUGACCUUGCUAAGUUGAGAGGUGAAUUAUCACAGCAUGUCUUACUUCCCCUUCAGAUCCCAUCGCUGAAAUGGCAGGGGACAGGGAAUCACCUCUGUCCUUGUAAUUAUGCUGCAUCAAAGAGACUGGUUGAUCUGAGAGAAGGCUGUGACCAGGCAAAAAUAAAAAUACAGAAGCAAAAAAUCAGGCACUUCUACUGCUUGUAACUGAUGUCAGCUCAGUCUUUGGUAGAAACUAGCUGUCCUGUUCCUCUUUGGACUUCACUCUAAGCUAAGGCCUGUAAGUCAGAAGCCAGGCAAGGACAGAGCACAGCAUGGUACAUCCAUCUGUUGGAAGCCAAAGCCUCUCUGAAGCUCUCAGUCUCAGAUACCUCAGUGAGCAGAAAGACGUAAGAUUCCUCCCUCCCACCCCCAGCAUGGCAGAGCAACAUGCUUUGCAACCUAUUUGACAACUCACAAGGAUAUUACCUAUCGAAGUUCUAAUGUCUUUGAUGCCUUAACCGUUCAGGCAGGACAGGCUAAAUAUCAUCUCGCAGAAACUUCUGAUGUCUACAGGGAGCAAGACCCCUUCUUGACCUUUUCUCUUGCUAUUUUGCUGGUUUUGUUCUGUGCUUCUCACAGGUGAUCCAUUCCAGAUGCACAAAAGAGGUCAAACUAGCAGAGGUGGCUUGUGCCAAAGGCUUUGGCUUCUGCCAAGAGACACUUGAAAAGAAAGACAUUUGUGCUAGUGACAUAGAGCAAAGAGGGACAAUAUGUCUUUUACUCCAAUUGAUUUACCCACCAACCUUCUACGCAAACAAGGAUAAAAGCAGCAUUUCAGUCCACAUUACAGCAGAUGGGCUCUGCAUGCAGCACGAGAGAAAUAGCUAUAAAAAAAAAUACUGAGCCAGCCCCAAGAUCUGGAGAGGAUGGGAUAAUCAGAAGGCUUUUUUAUACUGUGCAGCUUGAGGAUGUCAUUUACCUAAAGUGCAUCUUAGUUAAGAUAGUUAUCAAAAAGGGACAUGCCAAGCAGCGAGCAACUUAGAAAAUUAGUCAGUUGAACUAAUCCUUUUAGGACUUGUUUUUCUCUCCUCCUUGCACAAAUCUAAGAGAGGAUUACUGGUUCUAGAUAGGAAGACAGAAGGUAUGUUGCACAUCUGUAUCUCCUAAAAGCAGCAUGGAACUAAUGCCAUUAAGCCAUGGCCACUCUGUUUACCAGAGAGCACAAAUAGCUCCCAAAGUGUUUCUCCACUCACGGUCACUGACCUUUAACAUACCACAGUGCAGAGAGGCUGAGCUAUUAAUUUACAAAUCAGAUACUGUUGAAUGAAUACCGACAUCCCCAAAUGUAUUCAUGAUGGUGAAUGCAACCUCUGAUCUCCUCCAUGAGAAUUUUUAAAAAAGUUCAACUUUGUCUAAGUGUCAAGUGGCUGGGAGAAAAGAAUCCUUCCAGAUGGAGGUUACUGAUCUUCUAAAAAUGAAGUCUCCAUUUUAAAUUAAAACCAAAAAGACUGCUUCAAAAAACCAUCACCACCACUAAAGUAAAUAAAUAAAUAAAUAAAAUCCUUCAAGGCACAAAAAUUCAAUAAAGCAAGGAUAGAGUCUAAGACAAAUAGAGAAGAUUAAACAGAGACUUUACCAUCAAAUCAGAUAGCAAGAAGAAACAAAUUGAAAAGCAGGCUAAUUACAAACUUCUAAUUUUUUCUUCUGCGUACCUAAAAUUUUAUUGCAUACUUAUCUGCGGCAAGAAAUACAUAAAGGAAGGCCUGAGUUAGUACUAAACGACUAGAUAUAUCUGGGUAUGUAUCUAUAUAUCUCUAUAUAUUCUUUGUUUAUGCAGUUGAGUGACAAGUUUGACAAAACAGAAAUUCUGUUUGGACAUGUUAAUUUCAUCUUUUUCUGCAACAUCCUUGAUAUGCUAAUGGCAAAAAGGAUAGAGUUAGGUAAUGAAGUUUAGACUGUUCUGCUCACCCACUCCUUCCUCAUCUACAGGACACAAAAAUGUGAUUUGAACAAACCUACAUGAUUCCAAUUCAAAAAUAAAC
rnacentral:lncRNA from 1 species